AUUGAACGCUGGCGGCAGGCCUAACACAUGCAAGUCGAGCGGAUGAAGGGAGCUUGCUCCUGGAUUCAGCGGCGGACGGGUGAGUAAUGCCUAGGAAUCUGCCUGGUAGUGGGGGAUAACGUCCGGAAACGGGCGCUAAUACCGCAUACGUCCUGAGGGAGAAAGUGGGGGAUCUUCGGACCUCACGCUAUCAGAUGAGCCUAGGUCGGAUUAGCUAGUUGGUGGGGUAAAGGCCUACCAAGGCGACGAUCCGUAACUGGUCUGGGAGGAUGAUCAGUCACACUGAAACUGAGACACGGUCCAGACUCCUACGGGAGGCAGCAGUGGGGAAUAUUGGACAAUGGGCGAAAGCCUGAUCCAGCCAUGCCGCGUGUGUGAAGAAGGUCUUCGGAUUGUAAAGCACUUUAAGUUGGGAGGAAGGGCAGUAAGUUAAUACCUUGCUGUUUUGACGUUACCAACAGAAUAAGCACCGGCUAACUUCGUG
rnacentral:rRNA from 1 species